rnacentral:lncRNA from 1 species
GCCUUAGAAUAGGCACAUGUCAUAGUAUUAAGAUUUACGGACUCCCAUUGCUAAUAGUUAAUUAAUAAAAUCAUGUGCUAAGCCUUUGAGAAAAAUAAACGUUGCCCGGAUGUCGUCGUCCUUCAAACAACUUGACUUUUUAGGUGGGAACUCGACCUCCAAAAGAAAAUCUCUUUUAAGUUCUGUAUUAUAAAAUACUGAUUCACUCCCCUAUUUUUUGUCAGCUGGACUUGUGGAAAGAGUUGUUCUACUUGGAGCACCCAUUGCAAUUAAAGAAAUGAACUGGGAAGCUACUCGGCAGGGAUUGUUGCUUUACCUUCUGCAUUCAUAUUCACAAAUAUUGAUAUUGUAUCAAUAAUAGGCACAUAUGCAUCAGUUACUGUUAUUGCAUAUGUUUAACAUUCUCUAUUAUGCAGGUGGUGGCUGGAAGGUUUGUGAAUGCAUAUUCUACCAACGAUUGGAUACUUGGAAUUGCGUUUCGUGCCAAGUAUGCAAGUCUUAAAUCUACUGUGAAAAUAUUAGGAUUGUGAAAUUGAUAGGUAGAUCACAUCUUGCUUUUGAAGUUGAGAUUUGUGCCUAACUGUGUCAAUAGAAGUAUCAAAACAAAAGAAGAAGUGAAUUUUUUUUGUCCAUUCUUUUGCUUAUUGAUUUUCGAUGUUGCCCUUUGCCUAUAACAGUCUUCUGACACUAGGAUUGGCAGGAAUUCAACCAGUGGAAGUGCCUGGAAUUGAAAAUGUAAAUAUUAUUCGUAAUGCUGGUCAACAUAGCGUAACAUAUGUUUGGGAUUUCAACCUUUAUCUCUCCAUUGUUUUUGACAGGUUAACGUAACUAGCAUAAUUGAUGGUCACUCUUUUAUCUUUGGAAUGCCCAGGAAAUCCUAGAACAGCUCGAACCGAUUUUCAGUCCUCCCCCUGUCAAAACAUAGUUUGUACUGAAAUUCUGGCAUAGAGUGCAAUUGCAUCAGAGGCUUUGUUCUUGUCGGAAAUGGAGGUUUGGAUCUAAUUUUAAGUGUUACCGUAGUCGGCUUGUGUAUUCUUGAACCGAGGAUAUUUCAUUAGUUACUGCUUGGUACUUCUAUAAAUUUCAUUUUAUCCUCAUUCUUUGCGCAAUAUGAAUCAUAAGAAUUGAACAAAUGAAACAGGUAAACAGGUGGUAAUAUUGAAGAUCUGUACUUGCUCGUGUUACUGAGGAGAUGAAGAGUGGCUAUAAAAGUGCAAAACAAAUGCUGGAGUUCCCAUACGAGAAAUUAAGUAGAUGCCAUAUUUUUGGAACUGAUACAAAUCAACAUUGCCAAGAAUGUAGAAUGUAAAAUGAAUAAUGUUAAUUUACAUAAACAUAAAAUGUCACAACAUGUAGAACUUUUAGCUUCAAUGAUACUAUAGUAUACUUUUCUACACUAACAUGA